rnacentral:rRNA from 1 species
UACGUAGGGUGCAAGCGUUGUCCGGAAUUAUUGGGCGUAAAGAGCUCGUAGGCGGUUCGUCGCGUCGGCUGUGAAAACCCGGAGCUCAACUCCGGGCCUGCAGUCGAUACGGGCGGACUAGAGUGUGGUAGGGGAGGCUGGAAUUCCUGGUGUAGCGGUGAAAUGCGCAGAUAUCAGGAGGAACACCGGUGGCGAAGGCGGGUCUCUGGGCCGAUACUGACGCUGAGGAGCGAAAGCGUGGGGAGCGAACAGG